rnacentral:sRNA from 1 species
CCCUUCGAAGGCAGCGCAUCUCCUCCUCCCAGCGCGCCUUCAUUGAUUGGCAACACUCCUCCUCCCAGUUGCCAAUCCGGAUCAAAGAGCCUGACGCAUCCUCCUCCCGCGUCGGGCUCUUUUU